rnacentral:rRNA from 1 species
ACCUGAAACCGUGUACGUACAAGCAGUGGGAGCACAGAGCAAUCUGUGUGACUGCGUACCUUUUGUAUAAUGGGUCAGCGACUUAUAUUCUGUAGCAAGGUUAACCGAAUAGGGGAGCCGAAGGGAAACCGAGUCUUAACUGGGCGUUAAGUUGCAGGGUAUAGACCCGAAACCCGGUGAUCUAGCCAUGGGCAGGUUGAAGGUUGGGUAACACUAACUGGAGGACCGAACCGACUAAUGUUGAAAAAUUAGCGGAUGACUUGUGGCUGGGGGUGAAAGGCCAAUCAAACCGGGAGAUAGCUGGUUCUCCCCGAAAGCUAUUUAGGUAGCGCCUCGUGAAUUCAUCUCCGGGGGUAGAGCACUGUUUCGGCAAGGGGGUCAUCCCGA